AAAAGUGCCACAAGCACAUACCGCCAUCACAUCACAGACAAAGAAGAGAAAGGAGCUUCCACACACAUACCUUCCUUCGAAGGCACCCCAUUCACACACUCCCACCCAUAUUUCUUCUCUCAACUCUCAAUCACAAGCCAAGAAUUUACUUUCAUCUCUGUGUAAACUCUAAGAUACAAUACAUAUACUAUAUGUCUCUACAAUAACACAUGCUAGAAGAAAUGGAAGGCACAACAACAAAACCCCCACAAAUCUCCGACAUGUUUACCAAAUUCGCCCAUGUUGUCCGAACCAAAACCUUCGAACUCUUCAACGACGAUGAAGAAAACAACAACACCGACACUACCAAUGAUGUCUUUACUCUCCUUAAUUCCACCGAAGAAUUCAUAACUGACCAAAAAGUCGUUGUAAUCAAACCUGAUUUCCAAAAAUACCCUCAGUUAACAAAUACCCAUUUUACUAAAUCCCUUAUUUCUUCACUUUUCGCUACAAUGUCGUCAUUUGAAGCUUCUUAUCUUCAGUUACAAACAGCUCAUGUUCCCUUUGACGAAAAUGCCCUUGAAUCAGCUGAUAAAGUUUUGGUUUCAGUUCUUCAGAAGUUAACUGAAAUGAAGAAUUUGUAUAAGGAAUUUAGAAGAAACCCAAGUUGUAAUAUUGAUGUUCUUGUAGGGUCAGAAUUGGAAUUUCAGGUACAAGAGCAUCAGAGCAAGCUCAGAGUUUUGGAGACUAUGGUAAAUCAGUUACUUUCUUAUAUGGAGUCUAAAGAUGAUGAAGUUUCAAUUUUGAAGAAGAAAUUGGAUAAAUUGCAAGAUUUUAAUUUGGGGUUGUCAAGAAAGUUAGGGGUGAAAAAUGAAAAAUUGAAUAAUAGUAGUACGGAGAUAUUAUGUACAGUUCGUGUUUUUGAAUCUAUGUUACGCGAUUCGAUUAAGUCAGCGAACAAAUUUACUAAGUUAUUGAUGGAGUUAAUGAAAAGGGCAGGUUGGGAUUUGGAGAAAGCAGCAAAUUCUGCGUAUUCUGAUGUUAGUUAUGCAGAAAAAGAACACCAUAAAUAUGCAUUUUUGUCAUAUAUUUGUUUGGGCAUGUUUAAAGGUUUUGAUCUAGAAGAUUACGGUUUGUGUGAUGAAGAAGUAUCUGGUGAGAAUGAUUAUUUGAAACAAUUACUUGAGCAUGUUUCAUGUAAUCCAAUGGAGAUAUUGAGUAUUAAUCCUAGUUGUGCAUUUUCAAGAUUUUGCGAGAAGAAGUACGAGCAGAUAAUUCACCCGACAAUAGAAUCAUCGAUAUUCAGAAAUUUGGAGGGGAAAGAAGUCAUAGUGGAUUCAUGGAAGUCGUUAAGUGUGUUUUACGAGUUGUUUGUAAGGAUGGCUAGUACAAUAUGGUUGCUUCAUAAGUUGGCUUACUCGUUUAAUCCUAUAGUUGAGAUAUUCCAAGUUGAGAGAGGGGUAGACUUUUCGAUGGUGUACAUGGAAGAUGUUACAAGGAAAAGUCAAUUCCCGUUGAGCAAGACGAGGCCAAAGGUGGGAUUUACUGUGGUGCCUGGGUUUAAAAUUGGGAGGACAGUCAUUCAGACACAGGUUUAUCUAACAGCCUUAAAAUCCAAGGAAUAGGGUAAAACAAAGGAAUCUGUAUAGUGGUCUGCAAGUUUCUUUGCUUUAUUGUGCUUUGGUCCCUCUUAACUUACACCAAGAGAUUCAGAAUUCAAAGAAUUCUUGUCAAAGUGAUAGAUGCUGCUAUCGCCGAGAGAUAAGCCAUUUUAUAUCAUCGCAGAAGUUGGUGUCCUGCCAGCCUGGAUUGCAGAUCCUUUCAUUUGCAAGUUCUACAACAUAUUCUCUUAGCUGUGAGAGAAGUACUCAGUUCAAUGAAUUCUUUGACUAUUUCGCUACACGUCUUAAAGUAUUGAUGUACUUUGCAUCAGUGUUCGUUGUUCUCUAGCGUGUAGUGAAUUGCUGCCAUGGUCACUGGAUGAGUACGCUUGCUAAAUCGUUCUUUGACGGCACUGAUUCUUCAAGUAGAUCAGAGAGAUGCUUACCAUUGCUCCUCCUUUUGCUUUAUUUCGUAAGAUUAAGGGUGUGUUCGGUAUGGAGGAAAAAUAUUUUCCUCCAUACCGAACACACACUAAGUGUAGGAGUUUUUGCUUCUCCGAUGAUCUCAAAUGCUCUUGAGCCGAGGGUCUUUCGGAAAUAGCCGCCCUACCUUUCAAGGUGGGGGUUAGGUCUGCGUACACUCUAUCCUCCCCAGACCCCACUUGGUGGGAUUAUACUGGGCUUCUUGGGCUUGUUGUUGUUGUUGAUGAUCUCAAAUGCCAACAAAGUUCUCUGCUUUCUUGCUUCUGAGUUCUGAUCAUACUAUUAAGUAUUGGACUUUUUGCUUCUCAGUGAACUUAACUUUCAUAUUAAAUUCAUUUGCAAGUGAUGUAUUGUGUGGAACAAUGUCCGGGCAAAACUGUGCAUUAUGUACAAUUGUAUAACAUCUACUAUGAGGACUUAAGCAAACUAUUGAUUCAACUUUAAUCUUUUCUGCAUAUGG